rnacentral:lncRNA from 1 species
AAAACCCAAGAGGACCGGGUUUGGAUGAACUUGUGGACAGCUGAAUACCUGGAAGUUCCUGGAGAGUGGCACACCCAGGGAGGGCAUGGAAGCUCUGCAUCCCCUUUCCCAUACAUCGCCCUGUGCAUCUUUUCAUCUAUAUCCUUUAUAAUAAACCAGUAACGGUAAGUAAAUGUUGCCCUGAGUUCUGUGAGGCAACUAGCAAAUUAACCAAACCCAAAGAGGGGGUCAUGGGAACCCCAAUUUGAAGCUGGUCAGUCAGAAGGUAAGGAGGCCCAGAUUUACAAUGGACUGGGGACAGUUUUGAAGACUGAGCCCUCAUUCUGUGGGAUUUGAUGCUGUCUCCAGGUAGACAGUGUCAGAAUUUAACUAGAUGGCGCGUAGCUGCUGUCUGCUGUGUUGAUUGUUGUGUGGGAGCAGAGGAAAAACAUGGUUUGAGAGCUUUUCCCUAGGCUUCCAAUACCCUCAGGUGGGUGUCAGGAGCAUUCCUUUUCCUUUUGUGUUUGGCUCAUACCUCUUCCAUCUUUUCUCCAGUAAACUCUGGGAGUGUGGUUAGUUUCCAGCACAGCUUCCUUCCUAGGUUGCUAGCUUGCUUGCUUGCUUGCUUGCUUGCUUGUUUCCUUCCUUCCUUCCUUCUCUCUUUCUUCCCUCCCUCCCUCCCUCCCUUCCUUCUUUCCUUUUUUUAAAAUUUAUUAUUAUUAUCUUGAGACAGAGUCUUGCUCUGUCGCCCAGGCUGGAGUGCAAUGGCACCAUCUCAGCUCACUGCAACCUCCACCUCCCAGGCUCAAGCGAUUCUCAGGUCUUGGCUUCCUGAGUAGCUGGGGUUACAGGCACGCACCACCAUGCCCAGCUAAUUUUUGUGCUUCCAGUAGAGAUGGGGUUUCGCCAUGUUGUCCAGGCUGGUCUCCAACUGCUGACCUCAAGUGAUCUGCCCACCUUGGCCUCCCAAAGUCCCGGGAUUACAGGUGAGAGCCACCACGCCAGACCCUACAGCCUUUUUUCUUGUGCCGCCACUAGAGCAGGGAGCCAGAAACAGUCUCUCUCUUAGGCUCCUUCAGUCAUGAGCCUCCAGUGUUCACAGCUCAAGAUCUAGCGUGGUCCCACCAAAGCCUCUCACCUUGGCCUGGAUGUGAGAGAAAAGCACCCAUUCUCGUUCCCCACAGGAGGGGAUAUAAUGCCAUAAUACUGAAUAUUUUUCCAAAGACAUUUCUGCUCCAAGCUUCUUCAAUUCAACAAUUCUAUGAGAUAUGAGGUAAGUAUAGAUCUAUGGGUUAUUAAAAACAGUCUUUCCUGUGCCAAUCCUACAUAGUAAGUCUAGACCAUAUUUUUCGGAUGUAAGUCUAUUUGCUACUUACUAUAUUUAUAUUUUGUUAAUUAUUUUGGGAAACUGGACAAAAUAGGGUAAGCAUCGUAUGAUACUUAAAACUGCUGAGAAAGAAAUAAUGUUAUUAUUCUACCUUGAUUUUAUAGCUGAGGAAAAUAAGGCAUAAAGAAGUGAAAUAAUGUUUAACCAAUAUUACAUAUUUUAUCAGGGUGCUGGGAACUUAAUUUCUUUGAUUUAUUUCCUGUAGCCAUACCCAUCAUAGUUUUGCUAACAGUGUGACUGGGAGUAGUGAGAUAUAAAAUAAAUUUGGGCCUCAGUUUCCUCACCUUUAACCUAAUUUUCUCAAAAAAUUAACAUAGUAAUGUUAAGUAAAGUCGAUAGCGGGGGCUGGUCCAAUGUGGGUACCCAGAAAAUAGAAGCAUCACCCUUCCUUUACCACUUUUCUCCAUGCUUCUUCCCUAAACCCACACACAUUUCUAAAAAAUUCCAAUAUGAUUUUAAAAUAACAUAUACAUUUACUUAAAUCUUUGAAUUUGAAAUUACAUUUCGAAUUUGAAACAACAUUUGAAUUUGAAACAACAUUUUGACAUCUUUUGUUCUAUUGUAAGUCCUAGGGCAGAAAGGAGACGUCUGGGGGCAGGGUGGAGGUUGCUGUGUCUGAAUGUAAAGAGGGAAAGCUGUGUCUGAAUGUAAAGAUUUGUCAUAUGACAAAUCUUAUGAAGACAUACAUAUAUUCUCGAUUGGAAAGAGAAGAUGAUUUUUGGUUCUACAAUUCUCACUGCUGACCUGUGGAGAAAGGAUUUUGGAAGAAUUACUGCCCACUGGGUAAUUUCAGGUUUGUAAAAUACCUGGUGAUCAUUUCAGCAGAAAGAUACAAUUCUAAUGUGAAAUUAAUUCUGAGCUUGUAUCACUCCUUGUCCCAAGUUCCUCCCCAUAUGUAAUUAGGCACAUCAGAAAGUGCUAGUUUUAUCUUUCUGACAUGCCAAUUUCUUUGUCAAGUCUUGAUCAAGACUUGUUAACCGCACUUGUCUUUUGACACCCUUCAUAAAAUGGCUUACUAGUACUGAUGAAGCUAUAUUUCCUGAUAUUCCUCAUCUUCCUUCUGUUCUAUUCAGAGAUGCCAUUUUAUCAAUGGUUCUGGGACUAGCGGACUCCACAUGUUGAUGAAAGGAUCAAUUAUUAACCUAACUUGGUGCCAGGCAUGGUUUUCCAUAUAAAGGCAGUAGAGGGGAGAAAGAAAUUUGUACUUGAUUGAAAAGGCUUCAUAUGGACAUUGGACAGUAAUACAAAGAAUGUGCUUGGCUCUGUAUGUUCAGCUUAGAGGUGAAUCUUUAGGACUAGGACUUCUGCCUUAGAGGACAGGCUCCAAAUCUCUGACCAGGAUAUCUAGACAGUAGACAAUUCUUGGAAUUUGGGUGGGUUGUUCUUUCAUACCAGGAAAUCUGACUUCGAGCUAUUGAGGCAAGUAGAGGAUUAUGGGAAAUAAGAUGGCAGAACUCCACCCUUUAUAUGUAAUUUAGGCUAGGACUUUAGUCUUCAAGGGAGUGUAGGCAUCUAAGCAACAUAAUGCACAAAAGCUCAGUUGUACAGCUUUGGCUUGCAUGGCAAUGGGGGUCAGAAUUUACUCUCCACAUAUAACCUGCGUACCCAGAAUGCAUACUAGUAACCAAAAGGCUGGUCUUAUUUGUUAGUGAUAAAAACCCAUACAAGUCACAAGAAAGUUCUACAGCUGUUGCUGGGACCAGGCCCAUCUCUAACAUUUGUGGGUCUGGAGGAAGAAUAUAAAUAUGGAGGCCUAAUUCCAUAUGUCUAAAUAUUUAAGCUAUUGUCAACAUAAACAUCUGUUAAAUAAUAUGAGCCCAAUUGCCAUCCUUCUAUCUUGGCAAAUGUUUAAAAUGUUUUUAAAUGUGCAAAAGAUUAAAUUUUUAUGGCUGAAAGUCAUCAAAAUAUAAAUACUAAAUCUAUUAUUUCAUGUAUCUAGUUGGCUAAUAUAGUGAUACUUUACACAAAGAAGACAUACAUGACUUACUGUACAUUUAUACUGAAACUAUUAAAUUUAUCUUUACUUUCAGUCUCACAAUCAGUCAUUAUGUUGUUAUAAUCAGUAUUUCCACACCACUUUGAAUACUGCUGACAAAAAUGCCAAAUUACACAACUUUUUUGAGUCAUUAAAAUUUCGAUUUGGAGAACAAUUCUGUAAAAACAGAAGCAACUGGAGUUGUCAAUAAAAUUUUAAGACAAUGGCUUUUUAAAGUGAGCUAGAAAUUCAUUGAAAUGAUGUUAAUAUGAAGAAAUAUAAUUGUUGCAAAUUGAUAAAAUUUUUAUCUAUACAUUUUCAUUACUUAUGUCACAAUUUUUAUCUUUUAUUUAAAUCCAUACAGUAUUUACCUUAUUCUCUUUUGGAAUUUCAAUGCUAGAAUAUUAGAAAGAAACCUAUGAAUACUGAUAUAUUAUCAUUUUUUCCAAAUCUCUCUUCAGUUGAUGCCAAACCUUGACUUCACCUGGAAAAUACGCUCUCUUUAGAGAUUAGUUUAAGUAGUAUUUGUAUGUCAAUCUGUAAUGGACAUGCAGAGUCUUAUUAUCUUGUUUUAAUUGGGAUAUCAUAUUUAUUGGGUAUAUCUCAAGGAAUUUCUUUCAAUUAAACACAUAUUUUCUCCAAAAUUUGAAAAAUGUAUCUAUUUUUAAGGUAUUUUAAAAUGUAAGGGGAACUUUCAUUUUUCAGAUGAUGAAGUAGACGUGCUUUUUCCUCACUCUUCCCUGAGAACACCUGAAAAUGCUGGACAUUAUAUAUAAAACAAAUGUAAUAAGAUUCUGAAAGGUUAAUAAAAGAUGACAGAAUUACUAAAGACCUUGAGUCCCCCAAAAUGAUAUAAUAGUAAGUUGCCUGAAUUUUCCUUUUGCCUCAUAUAUCCCAGUCUGAGUGCUGAAGAAGCCAGCAACCAGGAACAUCAUCAGGCACAGACAAAAAAAAAAAAAAAAAAAAGGAAAAAAAGGCCUAAAUAAAACCCUGUUCCCUCUAGCUGAAGAAUCAUGAAAAGGGUAGCCUAGCAAGACAGGAAAGUUAAAGGAUAUAACUGUUCCACUGCGGCUGGCCAAACAUCACAGAAAAAAAACUGUGGCCCAAAUGCCAACCCCACCAGAAAAGACUGAGUGAAGGAGUGAGGGGUCUCAACUUCUCCCCUCAUGAGGCUGUGAUUAGGUUCCCCAAACCCUUGACUAAAGUCGUAUCAAAAAAGUCAAGUGGGAAGCCAGGACUUUCACCCCCACGGGGCAAUAAUAAGCCCCUUACCCUGACGUGAUCCUGGGAGCCAAGUCAUGAGUUUUGACUUCCACAUCUACCUGGAAGUAACGAUGCGACCCUCUCCCUGUGCAGGGGCGGUGUUAAGAGAGGCCUAGUGGAGGGUCAGGCUCAGCAGCGAUGAAGCCGCCCACACUGUGGUGCUGGUGGAGGCCACGUGGGCAGCGGUAAUGGUCCUGCCCACUCUUCCCAGCUGGGAGGCUUCCACGCCAGCAGUGGAGGACUGUGACUUUUCCACUGGCCCAGAAGGAUUGAGGAUCCUCCUCCUUGGGUGUUAAGGGUGGCUGAGUAGAGAAUAUGGAUUUUUACCCCCAUGGCAGUAAAAAGGUCUUCCUUUUUCCCACCACAGUAGUAUCCAAAGCAGCCAGUUAAACUGAUUUAAGUAAGAUACAGAGUCUCAUAACAUAAUACCUAAAAUGUCUUGGUUUCAACUGAAAAUCACUCAUAACAAAGACCAGGGAGAUCUCAAACUUCACUAAAAAUAAUAAAUUCUGACAUGGAGAUGACAGAGAUUUUGGAAUUAUUUGACAAAGAUUUGAAAGCAGCCAUGAUUUUAAAAAAUGUUUUAACAAGCAAUUAACAGCAUGCUUUAGAAAAGCGGGCCGGGCGCGGUGGCUCACGCCUGUAAUCCCAGCACUUUGGGAGGCCGAGGCGGGCGGAUCACGAGGUCAGGAGAUGGAGACCACGGUGAAACCCCGUCUCUAGUAAAAAUACAAAAAAUUAGCCGGGCGUGGUGGCGGGCGCCUGCAGUCCCAGCUGCUUGGAGAGGCUGAGGCAGGAGAAUGGCGUGAACCCGGGAGGCGGAGCUUGCAGUGAGCCGAGAUCGCGCCACUGCACUCCAGCCUGGGUGACAGAGCGAGACUCCCUCUCCAAAAAAAAAAAAGAAAGAAAAGCGACAAAAUACAAAAAUCCCAGCAAAUAAAUAGAAAAUAUAAAGAAUAACCAGGUGCAAAUUUUAAAAGUAAAAAUUCAGUAACUGAAAUAAAAAUUCCAAUGGAUGUCUCAACAGAGGAAUAAAGAAAGCAUAUGAAAAAAAUCAGUGAACAAAAAGAUACAACAGUGGAAAUUACCUAAUUUGAGAGCAACACAGUGAAAAGAGACUGAAGGGAGAAAAGAAAAAAACAAACAAACAAAAAACAAAAACAGAACUUCAGGGACCUGUGGGACUGUCACAAAACAUCUAAAAUCUGUGUUAUUGAAACCCCAGAAAGAAGAAGAGUGAGUUUGAAAAGUGUUCAAAGAACACCUUCUCAUAUUUGCCAAGGCAUAAAUGUACAGACUCAAAAUGGUGAAAGAAUCUCAAAUUAGAGAAACCCCCGAAAAUUAAUACCAAGAUAUAUUACAGUCAAACUUUUGAAAACUUAAGAGGAAACAAAGCAGAAUCUUUAAAUCAGUGAGAUAAAAAUAGCACCUUAUCUACUAGAAAAAAAAGAAAAACCCAAAUGACUGGAGUUUUCCUUAGAAAACAUGACAAGAGAAAGUGGCACAAUAUUUUUAAAGUGCUGAAAGAAACAAAACAAAACAAAACAAUUUAUCAACCAGAAUCCUAUAUCCAGUAACAGUAUUUUUCAGGAAGGAGGGAAAAUCAUGACAUUCUGAGAUAAGGGAAAAUUAAGGUAACUGGUUGCCGGCAGAAUUACUCUAAAAGCA